UUCUUCUCUAUCCUUAUCUCUAUGCUAUUUCCUCUCUUAUUUGGAUUACGUUCAAUACUCUGGAAAGGCUCAUCUCCUUGUACGUCUCUCCAUCGUGAUCUCUAGAAUCUGCCAGCGAUGUCUCUCGCUUAUCCUCUCCACACACUCAUCUCUCCCUCACGGUGCCCUCCCUCCAUUUUCUGCCGCCGCUGCUGCUUUGCUUUCCAUGGCGGCGACCUCCCUUUCUGCUGCAAGGAAGUUUUUCCCUGCCCUGGUGCUCGUGGCUGCUAUUUCUCUGGCCAUGUCGAGCCCUCUCCCUUGGAUGCCAGCGCCCCCUUCCUGUUGCGGCCAACACCCCAACCCUAGCGCUUGGCUUCCAUCCCAGCCGCACCCUGCUCGGCUUCUCCGGUGCCGGCCGCCGUUCCAAGUCGUCGUUCCAGCCGACCUCAUUACUCGUUGCUCCUGAUGGCUGAUUGGACCUUGUAAUGUUGCGACAACGACACGCAAUGGUACGCUAGCUGAAAAAUCGUGCGAAGCGAAGGGUGUGGAUCAAAACAACCCACAAUACGAUGUCAGCCGAUGAGCCCGAAGAUGGAUGGACUAAGCAGAUGUCAGAACGAAAGCUGAUCAUCAAGUGGCCUUCAUCUAACAACACUAACCUAGUGUUAUCCCAGGGUUUUAUUCCCUGUUGUUUUUCAGGUUAUAUUUUUGUUCUGUUGUGGAUGGUGCUAAGUGCCGGUGGGCUCGGCCUUCUUAUAUAAGUAUAUUCCAUCUUUAGCUUCUUUAUUGAGGACUGUCACUUAAGCUAGCAUGUAUUUUAAAACUUAUAAAUGUUUUAUACAUUCAAAUUGUAAUCUUUUUGAAUCAAUUUCUUUUGUAAUCAACUCCGAUGAUAUAUAUUGUAAUCUUGUUAUAACUUGUAAAUGUUGUAACUUGUAACCAUUUUGUAAUAAAGAAUUUCCGCUGC
rnacentral:misc_RNA from 1 species